rnacentral:rRNA from 1 species
AGCUCACCUAGGCGACGAUCCCUAGCUGGUCUGAGAGGAUGACCAGCCACACUGGAACUGAGACACGGUCCAGACUCCUACGGGAGGCAGCAGUGGGGAAUAUUGCACAAUGGGCGCAAAGCCUGAUGCAGCCAUGCCGCGUGUGUGAAGAAGGCCUUAGGGUUGUAAAGCACUUUCAGCGAGGAGGAAGGGGUUCAGUGUUAAUAGCACUGAGCAUUGACGUUACUCGCAGAAGAAGCACCGGCUAACUCCGUGCCAGCAGCCGCGGUAAUACGGAGGGUGCAAGCGUUAAUCGGAAUUACUGGGCGUAAAGCGCACGCAGGCGGUUUGUUAAGUCAGAUGUGAAAUCCCCGAGCUUAACUUGGGAAC